rnacentral:rRNA from 1 species
CCUACGGGAGGCAGCAGUCGAGAAUCAUUCACAAUGGGGGAAACCCUGAUGGUGCGACGCCGCGUGGGGGAAUGAAGGUCUUCGGAUUGUAAACCCCUGUCAUGUGGGAGCAAAUUAAAAAGAUAGUACCACAAGAGGAAGAGACGGCUAACUCUGUGCCAGCAGCCGCGGUAAUACAGAGGUCUCAAGCGUUGUUCGGAAUCACUGGGCGUAAGGGGUGCGUAGGCUGUUUCGUAAGUCGUGUGUGAAAGGCGCGGGCUCAACCCGCGGACGGCACAUGAUACUGGGAGACUAGAGUAAUGGAGGGGGAACCGGAAUUCUCAGUGUAGCAGUGAAAUGCGUAGAUAUCGAGAGGAACACUCGUGGCGAAGGCGGGUUCCUGGACAUUAACUGACGCUGAGGCACGAAGGCCAGGGGAGCGAAAGGGAUUAGAUACCCCGGUAGUC